rnacentral:rRNA from 1 species
GACGAACGCUGGCGGCGCGCCUAACACAUGCCAGUCGAACGGAGCUGAGAGAAGCUUGCUUUUCUUAGCUUAGUGGCGAACGGGUGAGUAACGCGUGAGUAACCUGCCCUGGAGUGGGGGACAACAGUUGGAAACGACUGCUAAUACCGCAUAAGCCCACGAUCCGGCAUCGGAUUGAGGGAAAAGGAUUUAUUCGCUUCAGGAUGGACUCGCGUCCAAUUAGCUAGUUGGUGAGGUAACGGCCCACCAAGGCGACGAUUGGUAGCCGGACUGAGAGGUUGAACGGCCACAUUGGGACUGAGACACGGCCCAGACUCCUACGGGAGGCAGCAGUGGGGGAUAUUGCACAAUGGGGGAAACCCUGAUGCAGCGACGCCGCGUGGAGGAAGAAGGUUUUCGGAUUGUAAACUCCUGUCGUGAGGGACGAUAAUGACGGUACCUAACAAGAAAGCACCGGCUAACUACGUG